rnacentral:misc_RNA from 1 species
AAGUCGUAACAAGGUUUCCGUAGGUGAACCUGCGGAAGGAUCAUUACUCUUAGCUUAUAAGUAUCCGUACUUAUAUUGCUAUACUCUAAACACCAAACUGUGCUCUUUCUUUUUCACCCCAUUCUCAGUUCCUUCGUGGACUGGACCUUUUCUUUUCUUACAACUGAUCAUAUUGUGCGUCGGAACGGGAACUAUUCGUAGCCACCGUCUCCACUCACAUCUGUACUUUGAACAUCCACUUCCAGUGUAUGUUGACUGUACUUGUUGAACCACAGGAUGUGACUGUAUUGUGUACCUCGU